rnacentral:tRNA from 1 species
GGAGAGAUGCCCGAGUGGCUGAAGGGGCGCGCCUGGAGAGCGCGUAGGCUGCGAAAGUGGCCUCGUGGGUUCGAAUCCCACUCUCUCCGCCA